GCCCAGAUAGCUCAGCCGGUAGAGCACGCCCUUGGUAAGGGCGAGGUCACGAGUUCGAAUCUCGUUCUGGGCUCCA
rnacentral:tRNA from 1 species